GAGCCCGUGGCUCAGUGGUUAGAGCGAUGGACUUUUAAUCAACAGGUCGCGGGUUCG
rnacentral:tRNA from 1 species